CGUAUAAAUGUGCAUCUCCGGUUUACACCCAUGCAUAUGUCUCUGCUAUAGUUUUCCCUUGUUGUAUGUAGCAAGCUCAGGCAGAAGAGUUAAAAAAAUAAAAAUUGAGAUGCAUGGGGUUUCGAAAGGUGCUGCCCAGGCCUACCAGUUCAGGGUCCCAUCAUACGAAGUAAGGACUACAGCCCACUGGCCGGGGCGUCCAAGGAGCGAAACAGAUUCAAGGGAUACUCAGUUGACUUUGGGGUCUCAGUUGCAAUACUCGCAAGUGGAGUCCGGGAUUGCGCCGGGAUAUAAAAUCCAGCUCCCCAGGCUUGUCUUUACAGUUCUCGACGAGGUGGUCCUCGAGGUAUUUGACGGACGCUGAACUGGAGAGACUUCAUUUUGAAGGAUUGCCAUCGUCAACCGCACUGAGGCAGACUGGUCCCACGAAAUAGAAGAAUAUAAGAAGUUCACGGUGGGUCAACGAGGCAAGAUGGACGUCAUGCUGCACUGCAUCCUGGGAGCUGUACUGAUUUUCAGUGUGGCAAUAACCGUGGAUGGAACAGGAGAUCACAGAUGCAGACGGACGUACCAGUACUGGGGUACGGAGAGGUACACGACGUACCGCAGUCAGCGGUACACUGUCUACUGUGGAAUGUGCGGAUGGGCUCGAUGCACUCGGUACAGGCAAUCAUCCAGUUACGCUUACCGCAGCCGACUUUGGACAAGCACUCGUACAGAGUGCUGCUCCGGAUGGCGGAGAGACCGCUACGGGAGGUGUU